rnacentral:tRNA from 1 species
GGCUCCGUAGCUUAGAGGUAAAAAGCGCCCGUCUUGCGAAUUGGGAGUCAUAGGUUCGAUUCCCAUUGGAGCAC